UACUGUAAACCAACUUAUUUUCGCGAGCGAUUUAUUUUCGCGACUUUCGCGAGUAGAAAAAUAACGCGAAUAUAAAUCGUCGCGAAUAUGUCAAUCUUUGAUCUUUCCUUAAUAAACUUCAUCAAGUAAAUCAGAUAAUCGCGAAAUUUAAUAGCCGCGAAGUGGUCAAGAAAGGGUAAAACGCGAAAUAAAGUAUCCGCGAAAAUAAGUUGGUUUACAGUA
rnacentral:lncRNA from 1 species